rnacentral:misc_RNA from 1 species
AACCAUAGAAACCUGCGGAGUACCUGCGGAGGGAUCAUUACACAAUACAAUAUGAAGGCUGUCCGCAGCUGGAGUAUUUUAUUACCCUUGUCUUUUGCGCACUUGUUGUUUCUUGGGCGGGUUCGCUCGCCACCAGGACCACCAAAUAAACCUUUUUUAUGCAGUUGCAAUCAGCGUCAGUACAAACAAUGUAAAUCAUUUACAACUUUUAACAAUGGAUCUCAGAUCGGAAGAGCACAC